rnacentral:sRNA from 1 species
AGUUGCUCCGGCGGCGCUCGGGGAGGGAGCCAGCAGCCUGGGGCCCAGGCCCGGGCCACCAUGGCGCUGCCUUCGGGCCCAGCCGCCCUCCGGCACACACUGCUGCUCCUGCCAGCCCUUCUGAGCUCAGCUGCAGGAGGCCAACACCUCAAGACUGCUGAGCGUGGGAGGGGAGGCCUUCUCUGGAGGCACCAGCACCUUCACAGUCACAGCCCAUCGGGCUCAGCAUGAGCUCAACUGCUCCCUGCAGGACCCCAGCAGUGGCCGAUCAGCCAACGCCUCUGUCAUCCUCAAUGUGCAAUGUGAGUGGCCCUGAGGUGGGCAGGGAGAGAGGUUCUCUGCCCAGGGACCCCCAGCACCCACCAGGCAGGUGGUCCGCAGGACAUUUAGCAGACACUGCAGCACUUUGCAAAUAUGAACUCAUUUUAUCCUCUGAGUAAUCCCAUGAGGUCAUUACUAUUGUUGUCACCAUUUUACAAAUAAGAAAACUGAGGCAGAAAGAGGUAAGCAAUCUGCCCAGGGCGAUGAUCCCACUGGUAAGAAGCA